UACGAAGGGGGCUAGCGUUGCCCGGAAUCACUGGGCGUAAAGGGUGCGUAGGCGGAUCUUUAAGUCAGAAGUGAAAGCCUGGAGCUCAACUCCAGAACUGCCUUUGAUGCUGGGGAUCUUGAGUUCGGGAGAGGUGAGUGGAACUGCGAGUGUAGAGGUGAAAUUCGUAGAUAUUCGCAAGAACACCAGUGGCGAAGGCGGCUCACUGGCCCGAUACUGACGCUGAGGCACGAAAGCGUGGGGAGCAAACAGGAUUAGAAACCCUUGUAGU
rnacentral:rRNA from 1 species